AAUAUGCCGUAAAAAUGAAACAGAUAUAUUUAUCUUGAUUGUUUAUGUUACCUGAUAUGUUAUUGUUUCGAAUACCAUGUAAAGGAUAAGGAAGGACGGAGCAUGCAAUCCAUUCAGAUAAAAUUUGGAGCAAUAAUAAUAGACAUCGUAUCAACGGUACAUCAUAAUUAAGAAAGUGUUAGAAUAAAAGUUAAGAUGCCAGUAAAUCUUUUACGUAUCAUAAGAUAGGAUAUAGGAAAUAGUUUCUAUCAUAGACCAAAUAUAAAUCGUCACGAUACUAGCGACGGUAUAUAAUCGAAAAAGCUCAGCAAGAUUCAGCCACUUACUCGUCGACCAUUGCCGAGGAAGAAUUUAC